AGAUUGAACGCUGGCGGCAUGCUUUACACAUGCAAGUCGAACGGUAACGCGGGGGCAACCCUGGCGACGAGUGGCGAACGGGUGAGUAAUACAUCGGAACGUGCCCAGUAGUGGGGGAUAGCUCGGCGAAAGCCGGAUUAAUACCGCAUACGACCUACGGGUGAAAGCGGGGGAUCGCAAGACCUCGCGCUAUUGGAGCGGCCGAUGGCAGAUUAGCUUGUUGGUAGGGGUAAA
rnacentral:rRNA from 1 species